ensembl:snRNA U6 U6 spliceosomal RNA
GUGUUCCAGCAGCAAAUAUAUUAAAAUUGGAAUGAUACAGAGAAGUUUAGCACAGCCUUGGCAUAAGGAUGACAAAAGAAUUCAUGAAGCUUUUCAUAUUUUU